rnacentral:rRNA from 1 species
UACGUAGGGUGCAAGCGUUAAUCGGAAUUACUGGGCGUAAAGCGUGCGCAGGCGGUUUUGUAAGUUUGGCGUGAAAGCCCCGGGCUCAACCUGGGAAUGGCGAUGAAGACUGCAAGGCUUGAAUCUGGCAGAGGGGGGUAGAAUUCCACGUGUAGCAGUGAAAUGCGUAGAGAUGUGGAGGAACACCGAUGGCGAAGGCAGCCCCCUGGGUCAAGAUUGACGCUCAUGCACGAAAGCGUGGGGAGCAAACAGG